rnacentral:piRNA from 1 species
UAGGUGUCCUCUAAGAGUUCUUGUGUUGU